rnacentral:tRNA from 1 species
GGUUUGUGGCUCAGUGGUAGAGCGCUUGCCUAGCAUGUGUGAGGCCCUGGGUUCGAUGCUCAGCACUG